rnacentral:snoRNA from 14 species
ACGUCUGCUGCCUGUGAUUACACUUGCUGUCUGAAUAUAUCCUGUAGAUUUUCUUCAGCAUUCGUCACUACCACUGAGGCAACAAUUCC